UGCUGUCUCCUCUUCCUCCAACAGAAAAGGAAGAGAGCAAAGUAGGUAACAAUCCAAAAGGAGCAACUCUCAAGAAGAGGCAAGAGAUGGUUUAACUCAUUCUAAAUCUUUAUUCUGCAGCAGUAAGGAGAGUAGUUCCGUAGAUGGUCUACCAUGAGGUUCAGGAACUAAAGACCCCCAUCAAUGCACAAAAGGAUCAGAGUUCCAGUUCCACUGCACAGAUUGGAGAAUAUGUGAAUAUUGCCCAGCAGAAACUGAAAUCAACUUUCCACAUUUACAUUUUACAGUAGAUAAUGCCUUCCGAACCCUUUAAAAAUGUAUCAAUGUGCGUUGAAGCUCCCUAAAUACUGAUUCAAUAUUUCUAAUGUAAGACUAGGACCACAAUUAUGGCUUCUUGCAUAUAAUGUAAAAAAUUCCACAGCAAAUUUAAUAGACACUUCAGUUUCCAAAGUGACACCAUCAUUUGUGUGUGUGUGCGCCCUGGCUGGCAAUACUGUUGAAUGUGCAUUCCCAAUACACAUGUAAAUGGUGAACUGAACAAAAUAUACUGUUAGGUGAGGGAAUCUUGACAGUUUAAUGCUGUAUGUUACAAAUUUCUGAAAGAACAAAUUUCGUCUAUUGGAAAAAGAUAUCUUCUUCAUAUGACUUACAAUGUCAUGAUCAGAGCAGUCCUUUUAUUUUUCUUAUAAGUCAGAAAAUAAAAUAAACUCCAAUAAGACAGAAAAUUGAGCAACUGUGUCAAGGGCAGCCCUUCCCUUUAGUUCUAUAGCAAAGCGAGGCAAGUGGAGAGAUCAAGUGAGGAAGUGUAAAUCAUUCAUGGGCCUGAUGUGUAGCUUUUCUUGCUAACCAGAUUCAUUUUCCUAAAUGGUGUUUGGGAUUAGAUGUAUGUGGGUCAGUAAUACUCUGUGAGGGAUGCUAUACUUGCAGAGUCCGGGGCUAAUUAGCUCAGACCAUGACUCAGCACGAACAUCUCUCUUCUACAAUUGCAUCCAUCUGUGGCUGAAGAGCUGCGCUAAUCAGGAAGCUACCCCAACCAGCAAAGAUCAGAACAACUGAAAAAAGGGUAUUCACAAUAAAAAGUCAAAGUUUAAUCUAGAAAGUUGGCAGCUGGAGGAGAUCAACACAAACAGGUUAGUAAGAGAAAAAUCUGAGAGAAUGAGAGAUGAAGGGCUUUUUCUCUGGAUACACACAUUUCUUAGGCAAAGGAAAAGCUUAUAGAGGGUGUUGAAAGGCCAGGACUCAUGCAGUAUCAUCAUAAAGCACAUAUGUUUUCCCCACACCUGUUGAAAUCUGCUCUAUGGGGAUAGAUUUCUUCCACUCCAGAGUAAAAUCUCCACCUAGUCCCAAAGCUUAUUUGCUCACUCUUAGACCGCAAGAAACCCCCACGCCAUUUUGGUAAAAAAAAAAAAAAGUUUCAGUUCUGUAGUUAAUAUUUCCAGUCCAGUAUAAUAAUCAAACGUCUGAAGUUAUUCAAAGAUACUUUCUCCUCUCACUCAAGUCUGGUGCUGUCUGGAAAUGGGAAAGCGAGGAGGAAGACAGGCUCAACUUUUCUGAUGUUUCCAGCCUCUUAAGGGGAGGGAAAGAUCCCAUUGUGCUAUCACUGGUGUGAGUAGCUACACUGUUUAGUGGGACUGGAAUAUGUAUAAAGCGGAUUUUUUUUAUUUUGUGGAGCACUCCAUCCCUAGGGAGCUGUUCUCAAUAGGGCAGAGGUACGAGAGAAGAAACUGCCACCCUUCCUCCAUGCUGGCAAGGAAGGUUGAAAUUCUCUUUGUCUCCAAUACAACUCUUUUAUAACCCCAGGUGUCUGGGGCCAAGGGACACAAAAAAGAUUUUAGACACCACUUUGCACAGUGUGAAUAGAAGGCCUUGCACCUCAAUUUGGGCUGUGGGUGUAUUUCUCAUGUAUUGUUAUGAGGCAAGCAGCCCCUAAGGAGGACACUGCAGUCAGAAAUGCCAAUUCCAAAAUUACUUGUCACCUUACUGCCUGACUUUGCUUAUAGAUCAUUCUUAACAUACAGACCCUUUCCCCGUGACUACACAGUGCCAUUGAUUACAUUCAUUUCACUUUAGAUAUUUCUGUUUCUAGCCUCUGUUCCAGCACUGCAGUGAUGAAUUCAAGUUCCCUCUGUGCUCUGCAAAAUGCCUGCAGCAAACAGCUCAUCAAGAGAAUCCUACAGAAAUGCCUCUACAGCUGGGGUCAGAGUGGCUUUUGAGACCUUCUUUAACUCAGAGGGAGAGAGCAAAACAAAUUCUUUCAAGCUGAUUAUUACCUGGAAGAUUCUCCCACUGUAAGGUUGUUUCUUAUCUUCUUCUACGAGACGUCGCCCUUCUGAAAGAACCCUGCAUCUGUAAUAUGGUUCAUGGAUCCGGGCUGUUCUGCAUCAAAGCCAUCAAAGGCACUUUGAAUCUGGAGGGAGCACGUUACAGAAGAAAGAGAAACAUGAGCUGCAGUUGUUGUUAGACCUUGAGUGCAUUUCCAGUUCUGACCUUCACAAGCUCUGUAAGCAAGUGUAUUCUCCUGACGUUUCUGAUCCUGGGAUUUUUUAUCUGCAAAUGGUGAUAAAUCCAAGUUAAGAAAGUUAGUAACAUUCACCUUGUUAAUAAUUACAUGCUACACAUAUGUAAGUUAUUAUUCAGAGAAGUCAGUUUCUGGCUACAACGUUAGAAUGACUAAUUAUUAGCUGAGGGUAAGACUUUUAAAAUGUCACAAAGCAUAGUGUCAUCUGGGAAGGAAGCCAUUGAAAAUAAGAUGAGAAAUGUUACUAACACAAAUUUUACUUGAUCAAAAUUUUCUAAGGGAUUUCUCUGGUUACAAAAAUGUCACCACAGCACAACCUUGCAUUAGAUUCACUUAUUUAGCCAUAAGACUGGGUGGAUAUACUAUAUUUUUCUGGAAGGCAAGAGACUCUCUGUUAUUUCC
rnacentral:lncRNA from 1 species